UGAGGAUUAUUGGUUAACGGGCGAGAGCCCGAACCAGCCAAGUUGCGUGCAGGAUGACGGCCUUUUGGGUUGUCUUUUGCUUUUAUAUGGGAUUAAAGUGAGGCAUGUGUCCCUUAUUGCAUGUACCAUACUAAUAAGGACCGGCUAAUUCCGUGCCAGCAGCCGCGGUAAUACGGAAGGUCUAGGCGUUAUCCGGAUUUAUUUGGUUUAAAGGGAGCGUAGGCUGUUUGUUAAGCGUGUUGUGAAAUGUAAGAGCUCAACUUUUAGAUUGCAGCGCGAACUGGCAGACUUGAGUGCGGACAACGUAGGCGGAAUUCAUGGUGUAGCGGUGAAAUGCUUAGAUAUCAUGAGGAACUCCGAUUGCGAAGGCAGCUUACGGGAGCGCAACUGACGCAGAAGCUGGAAGGUGGGGGUAGCGAACAGG
rnacentral:rRNA from 1 species